UACGAAGGGGGCUAGCGUUGCUCGGAAUGACUGGGCCUAAAGGGCGCGUAGGCGGAUUGUACAGUCAGGCGUGAAAUUCCCGGGCUCAACCUGGGGGCUGCGCUUGAGACGUGCGAUCUUGAGUGGGGAAGAGGGUCGUUGAAUUCCCAGUGUAGAGGUGAAAUUCGUAGAUAUUGGGAAGAACACCGGUGGCGAAGGCGGCGACCUGGUCCUUGACUGACGCUGAGGCGCGAAAGCGUGGGGAGCAAACAGG
rnacentral:rRNA from 1 species